AGUACUGGGAGUAAGAGGUGACCUAUUUAUUUUUAGAAGGGGGCAGUGAUAAUAACCCAGCUCCUAGCUUCAUUCAAGGGAGGCAGGCGCUUUGGAAGUUUGUAAACACCAACUUUCUGAGUAAGGGAGGAGCACUUUUUUUCCAAAAAGGAAAGAACGUCUCUACUGGGUUUUUUUCCUCCUGAUAUUCAGCAUUAGAGUAGAAAAGAAACUAUUGUUUGGCCACAUUAGCCGUGGUUAGCAGGUGCUGCAGCCUUUGCCACUGUUAUUAUUUUUAAAGGGCAGAAAUGCCUGAAGGUGAAGACUUUGGACCAGGCAAAAGGGCUUUAUGGCGCUCCCAAUGUCAGCCAGCUGCGGUGCCAGGAGCUAGGGUGAUGUCAGGCCCCUGCUGUCACGGAGCA
rnacentral:lncRNA from 1 species